rnacentral:rRNA from 1 species
UACGUAGGCCGCGAGCGUUGUUCGGAGUUCCUGGGCGUAAAGGGUGUGUAGGCGGUUGUUUAAGUUUGGUGUGAAAUCUCCCGGCUCAACUGGGAGGGUGCGCCGAAUACUGAAUGACUUGGAGUGCGGGAGAGGAAAGUGGAAUUCCUGGUGUAGCGGUGAAAUGCGUAGAUAUCAGGAGGAACACCGGUGGUGUAGACGGCUUUCUGGACCGUAACUGACGCUGAGACACGAAAGCGUGGGUAGCAAACAGG